UACGUAGGGUGCGAGCGUUAAUCGGAAUUACUGGGCGUAAAGCGUGCGCAGGCGGUGAUGUAAGACCGAUGUGAAAUCCCCGGGCUUAACCUGGGAACUGCAUUGGUGACUGCAUUGCUGGAGUAUGGCAGAGGGGGGGUGGAAUUCCACGUGUAGCAGUGAAAUGCGUAGAGAUGUGGAGGAACACCGAUGGCGAAGGCAGCCCCCUGAGCCAAUACUGACGCUCAUGCACGAAAGCGUGGGGAGCAAACAGG
rnacentral:rRNA from 1 species